CCGGAGGUUAUAAAGGAGGCUGGGAGGCAUUGCCAGGCAGGAGGUCAUGCUGGCUGGAACCUUGACUGGCCUCUGGCUGGCUCCUGAGGUCAGCUGAGUGGGGCCACUAUGGACAGGGAACGGGGACUGAGUGACAGGAUCCAGGAUGCGUGACUCCCAGACAUUUGCCCUGAGCAGUCAGAAUGGAGGCGCCAACCACUGAGGUCCAGAUGAGGUAGGAGGAGGGGACUUGGGGGAGGGAAGGAGGAGUUUUGUUGAAAUAGGUUUUAGUUUCUGGACAAGGGAGGGGUUCCGAGUACUGACAGCCCCUACUCACAGUGUUUCCAUGGACGACUUCUCAACUUUACGAACAUGCAAAGCAGCACCCACUCAGAGAAGCCACAUUUCAGAUUUAGCAUGUUGACCUUCUCCGGGACCAGGGGUGGGUGGUACAUGACAUUCUGUGGCCCUGGGCAGGGGCAGCGUCCCCCACAAGCCACACCGGAGGUAGGCCAGCGCGGUGUUGAGUGGCUCCGCGGCUGUUCAAACUUGCUACAAAACAGACUUUGCGUGAGAGCUCUCCCAGUGCCAGGCUCACGUGAGUGUGGUGAGCGUGCUUAAAGGUCGGGGAGGUAAACUGGUGCUCCUGGGCCGUCCAUGCACUAAGCCCACUUUUGACCUUGACCUUGUUAGUUAUGUAGGUUUAUUGGCUGUAACUUGAGCGUCUGCACACUGUUGGCCCGACUCUGUGGUCCGGAGGGGGAGCGGGAGGAGGGCUUGCACGUCACAGCUGUUGAUGGUGAGGGGCCGUGGGGACUGACCGUGACCACCAAGGGACGUUGCAGAGAAGACUCUGAGGUUCAGGGAUCAGGAGGUGUGGACAGGACAGAGGGCUGCCAGGGCGGUGGAUGGGCCUGGAGAUGUCCCGUAGCUCAGUGCAGAGGGCCUCUGUGUGGGGAAGGUGUGCGGCUGUGUCCUCGGCUUCUGCAGAGUCCGGGAGGAGCAGGGCUCGGGGCCUCAGGGUGGAGAAGCAGCUUGAGUGUGAAUCCUCAGAGAAUCAGGAGGCAGGGGGAGGAGCCAAGUCACGGUCAGCUCUGUGGCGCCAUCUGCUGUCCAGGGUGGGCAGAGAAAGGCCUAAGAUGAAGGGGACCCCUGGGGGAACCCCUUGGCUCUCUGCUGCCUGACCUGCUCUAUUAGCUUCCCGCUGCUGCUGUAAGACUUGCCACAGAUUUAGUGACUUCAAACAAAAAUACGUGUCACCUUACCAUUCGGGAGGUCACAUGUCCAAAAUGGGUUUCCCGGGAAUAAAGUCAGGGAGCGGGCGCUGGUUCUUGGGGAGGCUCUGGAAGAUGAUGUUUUCUUGCUUUUGUGUCUUGGGGGCCUGGGGACCUGGGCGGGGGCGGGGCCUCUCUCCAUCUGCAGAGCCAGCAGCAUCGUCCAGUCCCUCGCGUCCCCCCACCCUCACUGAAGAGUCCCUCGUGACUACACUGGGCUCGCCCACAAACCUAGGAUCCCUCUGCACCUCCACAUCCUGGACUUAAUUCCACCUGCAAAGUCUCUCUCACAAGGAAAUGUAUUUGCAGGUUCCAGGGACUCACAUGAGGACAUUUGGGGGUCCUUUUUCUUCCUGUUGGAGGGAUACCAUUUCUUUGGCUGGCUCCUGCCCCAGACCCGUCAGGCUGUAAGCAUCUUGGGGCGGGCGCCAUGUCUGGUCCAGGCACAGACUCUCCCAGGUGCCCUGUUCCUGCCCAUCUUGUCAUAAUGCACGAUUGGAUUUUUGGUUUUUGAUUAGUCCUUAUUGUGACCACCGUCCAUUAAGGAAUGAGCUGCAAGAGGCCAGGCCUAGGUCUGUUGAGUCCACCAGGGUGCACCGAGCACCCAGCUUAGGAUCUGGCACCGGGGCCCUCAGGAGGACACUGGGCUUUGGGUCAGGAAGAAACAGAUGAGACCCUGAUUUUACCUGGGAGUUUGGGUGUGCUGCGUCCCUACUUCAACCUCGGUUUUCACUUCUAUGAAAUGGAGACGAAAUAAUACCUCCCCCAUGGAGCUAUUGGGGGAAGUUCACGAGGCUUGGUGCGCGUGGAGCAUUCGGUGCUUGAGGAAGUGUGCAUGAGGGACAGUUCAACACUGGUGCACAAGGCUGUGUGGAUGAAGGACACACGGGCACCCCUGCAGCCCUGGCCUCCUCCCCACUGUCCACCCUGACUCUCUCCUCUCUCUCCACUCAGAGCCGCCUGGUUGAGUCCCAGGCAAAGGAACGCUCCCCAGAUCCAGGUCCCCUGGCCGUGGCCACCCGCCCCUCAGAGGAUGAGGAGAUCCUUUAUGCAGCCCUCAGGUUUCAUGAGGUGAAGGCCAGCGACCCACAGGGAGAGCAGGCCCCCGACAGUGAGUACGCGGAGAUCCACAUCCAGCCAUGAGAGACUGAGACCGGCCCCGGCUCAAGGAGGCGCAGCCUCUUCCAGGGCAAGGAAAAGUCAGGUCCCUGCAGAGGGACGCCUCUAGGUCCUGGCGCCACGCACAACUGGAACCCAGACCUAUUCCCAGCUGCGCUCCGUGCUGUGGCCACCUCCUCUCUCCCCGCCACCUGCCCACCCAGGGCCUCCGCUCUCCUCUCGCUCCUGAGCUCAACUCUUUCUGACUCCACUGCAGUGAGAUCCUGCUGUGCUUCUCUCUGGGCCUGUGUCAUCCACCACACUGUCCUGCAGGUCACCCAGGUGUCCCCAAGGACAGAACAUCACACUGUAUAUUGCAAGAGAGGAGUGUGGUUGGUGGUGCUGGGGAUGGACCCCAGGGCCCUGUGCCCGUGAGGCAAGCACUCUACCAACUGGGCCAUGUCCCCGGGCCUCAAGGGAGGAUUUUCAAUGUCCUCACCACAAGGGAAUGAAGGGUGUCACAGGUGAUGGAUGGCUGAUUGGCCCAGUGUGUCAGUCCUCAGGGUAUGAAGCUAUUGAACAUCACAUUGUCCCCGAUAAAUGCACACAGUUACCAUUUGUACAUUAACACAAAUAAAACUUUACAAAGCCCUACAGGUGAGGAAUUGAGGGGCAGAAAGUCUCUCUGGGGGCUCCUCCUCUGGAGGCAGCAGUGGGCACCUG
rnacentral:lncRNA from 1 species